rnacentral:rRNA from 1 species
GAUGAACGCUGGCGGCGUGCCUAAUACAUGCAAGUCGAGCGAACAGACGAGGAUCUUGCUCCUCUCACGUUAGCGGCGGACGGGUGAGUAACACGUGUAUAACCUACCUGUAAUACUGGGAUAACUUCGGGAAACCGGAUCUAAUACCGUAUAAUAUAUUGAACCGCAGUGGGCAAUAGUGAAAUACGGUUUUUCUGUCACUUAUAGAUGGAUCUGCGCCGCAUUAGAUAGUUGGUAAGUUAACGGCUUACCAAGGCAACGAGGCGUAGCCGAACUGAGAGAGUGAUCGCCCACACGGGAACUGAGACACGGACCAGACUCCUACGGGAGGCAGCAGUAGGCAAUCUUACGCAAUGGGCGAAAGCCUGACGGAGCAACGCCGCGUGAGUGAUGAAGGUCUUCGGAUCGUAAAACUCUGUUAUUAGGGAAGAACAACUGUGUAAGUAACUAUGCACGUCUUGACGGUACCUAAUCAGAAAGCAACGGCUAACUACGUG